rnacentral:rRNA from 1 species
ACAGAGGUCCCGAGCGUUGUUCGGAUUUACUGGGCGUAAAGGGCGCGUAGGCGGCGGAAUAAGUUUGAUGUGAAAUCUCCGGGCUUAACCUGGAAAAUGCAUUAAAAACUGUUUUGCUAGAGUGUUGGAGGGGAGGCUGGAAUUCUCGGUGUAGCAGUGAAAUGCGUAGAUAUCGGGAGGAACACCAGUGGCGAAGGCGAGUAUCUGGACAACUCCUGACACUGAGGCGCGAAAGCUAGGGGAGCAAACAG